ensembl:snRNA U6 U6 spliceosomal RNA
GUGCUCACUUCAGCAGCACAUGCUCCAAGUUAGAAUGAUAAAGAUUUGCAUGGCCCUUGUGCAGAGAUGACAUGCAAAUUUGUAGACUGUUCCAUAUUUUU